AAUUGGGAACAAAGAGGUCUGGGGAACAGAUACGUAGGUGGAUCCAUGGGAGUGGGCACCACAUAUGAAGAUCUUUGCAUCACACAUUAACAUCCACCAAGGAGCAUUCAAUGUAGAAAAGGCACAAAGCAGCCAAGUAUAGUUUGGCCAGUUGAUAUCAGUUCCAGUCUCUAUCAUUGUCCAUUGCAGUGAUAGCAUAAUGGGCUCAUGAAUGGACAUAGUGACAGGGCUAGAAGCUAUGCAUGGGCCCAACAGCAAGAGCUCCAACUCUCCAAGACUGAUCUUCUGCCAAAGCCAAAUGUCCAACUUGCCAGGCAUAUAAACCAAAGCCGAGUCCCCAUUCUGACACCAUUCUUAAGUGACCAAUGAGAUACUUCAUGAAAAGGAAGUUGGGGCCUGCCAAGUGGCCACUGCAGCAGUGGCUAGAUCAAGAAAUGAGUGAAGCCCAGAGGACCUGAAGUGGUGGAAGAAGAGUCUGGUACAGUCCGUUAUAGAUAAGCUCACCGUGCAUUAUUCUAAUUGGAGUAUCAGGACCCAAUGAUACAAUUGAGUAGGUUUGGGACAACUGGAAGCUACACACUCUGCAGAGGUCAGAAUUCAGAAAGCUUUACUUGAGAGGCCUCGAUAUCUGCUCAUGAGAACACAUCCCUCCCAGUACAUGCAGAUUUUUCAGAGAAGGUCCGCCAGAUUUUGACGGAAACUCUGCACAUGUGAGAAAGACACUCUCAGGAGCAGUUGUGCAACAUUCCUCACACUGUGUCCAGCUCCCUUCCUUACUCCCCACUUCCACCAGACCUGCCCCUCCAGGUGCCUUAGAUCCUCUAAGAGAGGUUUCUUACAACAGUGAUUCCAGAUACAGUGUAUAGGCCACCCCUGGCUGCAAGGGAGACCAGCAAAUGCCAUUUUCUAAUAUGGGAGGAUUGCUUCCUGGAAUAAAAUCAGUGUUGUAAGAUAUGAAUGAAGAAUGGAUAUUGGGUGACAGACUCAAGCUCACCAGCCUAAGGAGUACAGACCAUUUUCUUUGGCCAUGGAAGUUGGAGGAUUCUGCGGAGAGAGGAGAGGGGAUUGGGUCAAGGAGAUGAAAUGGCAGCGUAUGUGGGGAGCAAGUGGAGAGAGGAGAGCAUCGGGCAAUGCUGUGUGGAUGUGCAUAGAAAGGAAAGUGGACAAACACACUCCAACCAUUCACAGUCACCUGGGAAACUGAGGCAGCUGGAUGGCACUGUUUUAUGAAAUGUCCUCCCCGCAGCAGUUGAGGUAACAGACCUGACAUUUAACUGAAUGUCUUUGGAUAGAAUAUGAAGAGCCAAGUCAGCUGUCAUGUGAUUAACAAUCUUAUCUUUCAAU